CCCACAUACAAGUGAUAUCAUAUAGUGUUUGUCUUUGACUUACUUCACUCAGUACAAAAAUGGCAUUAUUUAAGUCUUUUUAAUGGCUGUGUAAUAUUCCAUUAUAUAUAUGUACCACAGCUUCUUUAUCCAUUCCUUGGUUGAUGAUCACUUAGUUUGCUUCCAUGUCUUGGCUGUUGUGAAUAGUGCAGCAAUGGAUGGAUGGAACUACUUCCAGUUUCCCCCCACCAAAAAAAAAAACAAAAACAAAAACACACGCACACAAAACCUUACUUCCUAGACUUUUGUUUCUAUCCUACAAUCCUCCCUGAUCACCUUGGCAUUAUGCAAAGUGCCCAUAACCCUUUUGGUUCCAGACUUUGUCCUUCACUGAGAAACACAUCUCAAGGAUCCUUUGUCCUAUAUAUGGUCCUCUUUCUUCUGAAUUUGGGAAGGAGUUGCAGAGAAACACUGGGUAUUUUGGAAAGAACACCUCUGAAUUCCAAUCCCAGCUCCCCCAACCCCAGCUGUGGAGCCUUAAGCAAGUUAUUUAACUUCCCGCAGCUUUAGUUUCCUCAUCUGCCUUUGAGAGCAAUACCGCUUUCCUCGUAAGUUUGCAGUAUGCGUUAAAAAUGACAUCAUGAACAUGAAGCACAUGCAUGACACCUGACAUUCAUUCUCUCACUGAAAAGAUGGUCAUGGAGGGUGUGCUCUGUGCCAGGCACUGCUCAGUCCUAAUAUAUUGGGGUUAAUGAGUGCCCACUAUGUGUGCCUCUACCCUGGGCAUGUGUGGUGGACAUUCAUUAAGCACUUGAUGAAACAAGGCUGAAUUUGUAAAAUGAUAGAAUUCUGGAAAUAGUUAUUGAGUUCCCACUCUAUUUAUGACACUGUAUUAGGGACAGAAAAGAUACGGCAAGUUGGGAAAGAUGUGUUUCUCCUCUCCAGGACCUCACAUUUCACCAUGAUUUUGUUGCUUCAUGGAGAUGUUUUAAAACUUCAGAAAACAUCCUUUCUUUCUUAGUCUUCUGUCUCACCUCUUAAAAUUCCCACCAGUGAUCAAACAUCCAUGCCUUUGCAUAUGCUACUCUCUCUGCCUGGAAUGACCUGGCCCAUCCCAACUUAUUCAAACUCAUGCCCUUCCCUACUUGUCAAACUCCUGCUCAUCUUUCAAAAUUCAGCUCUGAAAUCUCCUUUGGGAAGCCCUGACCUAGUACUGCAGAUGGUCUGCUGCUGUUUUCAUUUUCCCUGGGGCCUUUUACCCAAGUACGUAUCUGUUUCUUUCUCUAGACUGAGAGCUCCUGGAAGUCAAAGACAUUGUCUGAUUCAUCUUGGUAUCCUUCAUGACUACCAUAUUGUCUGGAAUUGAGUAAUAGCUCAAUUAAUGCCAGUUUAGUGAAGAAAUAAAUUCAUGAAUUAAUGAAUGGGUUGUUGGAUGGAUGGAGAGAGAGAGAGAGAGGGAUAUGUGGGGCAAAAAUUCAUACAUGAAUGGAUGGAGGGAGGGUUGGUUGCAUGGAUGGAUGGAUGGAGAAAGUGGGAGAGAAAGACAGAACAUGGCAAACAUUCAUACAAAUGCAUGGAUAGAUGGAUGGAGGAACAGACAAAUGAAACAAGGCACAAGUGAAGACAUACACUUGGUUUAAUGAUGGUAGUGAUGAGUUUUUGUCUGUAAUCCCAAAGGGCUUUAGUGAAACACCAAAGCAGAACCAUUCGGUUCUGAGAGGCUUUGAACCCUGAGGACAAUGCACAACCUAAGGAGUUUCCAGAGUAUGUCGUGAGCUAAUAAAUAUGAGGUCAAAUGACCAGGUCGACGUGCUGUGGACCCCAAGUAUGAAUUGCAUCCCACCCAGUCCAGGGGGAGCCUACCUUCUGCAUGCUGCAUCAGCCCCCCACCUUGCUCCGUCCUCCCUCCCCCUCCAUGGGUGCUGUGAUGGCCAAGUUCUAAUGAAUUACGGUGGCCUUUCAGCAAGCUGGGCCUGGACACCAGGGUCGUCUCUGUAGCCACGGCUGCCGCUGCCCUUGGUUCCUGCCAAGCUCACCGCCCGGACAAACAUACUUAGCAGGUGUUUUCCCCACAUUAAUAAUCAGAAUUGACAUGUUCUAAAUGAGGAUUUCCUUGUCGUGCAGGGCAGCUCUGAUGGAUAUGUGAGGGAAUUGACGGCCCCUGAGAAAUGUUUUUGCCAUUCCCAGCAUUUCUCUGACAGGCUUUUAAUAGUCCCACUAAAACUGCAGCAUUUUGGAAAUUUUUGUAGAUAAAGUGCAAAGGGCUGUUCUGACUCGGAGGCUCUGGAGUGGAAAAAUACAGUUUCGGGGACGCUGAGUUCCUCAAAUAACAGUGCUCUUAGAGGAAGCUGGUCUGAUGUUGGGUUGGCCUGAAUGCUGCAGAGGGAGCAAUGGCCCAGGGCCCUUGAGGAGUCUGGAGUUACAAGUGCACAGCGAGGCCUGGGAACUGUAGAUGAAGCACAUGUGAAGCCCUGAAUACAGCCUGGAUUGACAUCCUAGAUUAGAAAGGGUCAGAUUGAGUGGGUUUUUUCCCUCCUUUAUCUAUCAUCUACUCAAGAAGUAUUUAUUCACUUCUGACUCAUGAGUCACAAAUAUAAAUUAGACUCCACACACUGGAAAUUCUAUUAGUUAGUGUAUAUAUAGCCUUGGGCUAUAUAUGAAGAUUUAAGGUCCAAGCCUCAAUUUUCUCAUCUGCAAUAGGGAGCUAAUAAUGCCUCUUCUUUAGAAUUAUAUUUGAGGGUCAGGGAUCACAUAAGUUGGAUUCUGGGAGGGCCAGGGUCCCUGGCAGGAACAGAUGUCAUGUACUAAUGGGAGCCUCAAGGAGAGUUUAGUAGGGGGUUGCUUCUGAGAGGGGGGCGGGGUUACAGGAAACAUGAGAGAAGGGGCAGCGCCCUGGUGCUAGCAACAGUGGGGAGCCCCUCGGCCUCAAGGGUGGGAGAAGGGGACUUCCCUGAAGCCAGACGUUGCCUGACUUGGCUGUGACCUUCAGGAGAGGGCUGAGCCAGCCAGCUGGCAUUCCAGCAGAGAGGAGUCAGGAGAACCUUCUCUGAUCUCUCCUUCCUCCUACCUUCGGCUGUCCUGGUGAUGUCUCCCUUCGGCCAAACUCCAUGGGGAAGGGAGUAGUUCCAUCACUACAGUCCAUAAAGGUCAACUUUGCAGGGCAUGGAGCCAGGCGGAGUGUGGCCCCGGGGCAACAAAUGAGGGCUAUUCAUCUGGCACAUACACCAGCACAGCUGGACUCUCAGUGAGUCAGUAAAUGGUCACGACUGUGGGUAUAAGGUACCAACAUCCCCAUGGGGAUAAGGGGACGACCAGUAUUCUUAUUUCCACUUGACACGGAGGCUUAGGAAGAUAGGAUGGUCCCUCCAUCUCUGCUGGAAGCCCUGCCUCCCCCCUGAUCUCACAGGCUCUCAUUUUUCCUCACUUCUUUGGCUACCAGAGGGAGGCCAACAGGUGGCAAGCUUGUUCUGAUUUCCAGGGGUUAAAAUCAGGCCCUGAGAGUGAAACCAGCUGUCUAGAUUCCAUUAGGAAAUCAGGUCCUUGCCAGGGACUGGAGUCAGUGGGAGAGAUGGGAUCUGAAAGCUAAACAAAGCCAGUGAUGCCCUGGGAUAAGCUUCCCUAAUUAGCGGAGGUGGCUGCUGGAUCAUUGACGCACUCCGCCUGGCUCAGCCCUCUGGGAGCUGAUACACCGGGGGGCGGCGGGGGUGGGGGUGGGGCUUCUUACUCCUCAGCCCGCUGAUCCUCCCAAAGGCUCUUUCUAAGCCUCUUAGAGCCAGUUUCCCAAGCAGUCAGCCUUUCUAACUGGAGGGGCAGAACUCUCAGGAAAAGAUGGAAUGGGCUGAUAGACCAACAGCUUUGCAAGACCUCGGGCAGAAACGAAUGUUGCUCUCAACAGUCCCACCAGCAACCGCUGAGCCUGGCCCAGAGUGAGUGUUAGGCACCCAGCUGUUGUCAUCAGUGGUCUGGGUUCAAAUCCUGACUCCUCUGUUUAUUCACCGGAUGAUGUGGGCAUGAUGACUUAACUGUUCUGAACCUCCUUUCUCUCCCAUGAAACAGAGUGACCGAACCAACCUCCAUCAGUGCCAUGGGCCUUGGGGCAAUGGUGGUUGUUCUCCCCUUUCCCUUUGUUGGGACUGGGGACCUCCACUGCAUGGCCUCCGGUCCUCAGUUUAAGAACUCCAACCAUUUCAGCACUUCUGACAUCUCCUUUAUCAUUUGGCAGCAUCUUGGGGAGACCACAGGGCCAGGACCCUCUGUGAGCUGGCUCCUCCAGGGUCAUCUCUGAAGGCUGCCUGGCUGAGAAAGGUGGAUCUGGGAUUCUGGGCUAAUCUCACUUCCUAUGGCAAUGGGUCAUUACUGAGCACAUUUUCACAACCAGGAAAUCGAUGGGGUGCAAACCAGUUUGCUAAUAGAACUCCUCAGAGUCUUUGUAUAACUUAAUUGCAUAGGUAACCACACAAGCGUAUAAAUGAAGAUGGAACAAAGUCGGGGAGGGGCUUCUGAACACGGAUCAAUCCUGGAAAUCCUGGCUUCUGUGGCGGAGGGGAGCUGGGAAGAAGGUGAGAUGCUAGAUCAGAGCUUCUCGGGCUUGAACAGGAGCAGGAAGCACCUCUUAUUGCUCCGGCUGGCUUAGUAGGUCUGAGGCAGAGCCAGAGGUUUGCAUUUCUAAUAAGCUCCGCAGUGAUGCCAGUGUGGCUGGUCUGGGCCACAUGCUGGAGAACCAGGAACUGGACCAUCAGCAUUUCCAGGAGUCACAUCUGCCUGAGGCAGUGCCACCAAUAGAGAACAUUCCACGUGGUGUCACACAGGGAUUUCCCCAUUCUUUCAGCGUGCUCUUCCUUCCUUGCUGUGGCUCUUGGAUCCCCGUCAGCCUUGCUAGUUUUACACCUGUAUCCUCACAGGAUGUUACAGCUGAGCUGUGUCCACCCCUGAAAAUUCAAAUGUUGAUGUCCUAGCCCUUAAUACCUUGGAAUGUGACCUUAUGUGGAGAUGGUGCCUUUAAAGUGGUAAUUAAUUGGGAAUGCAGUCAUUAAAGUAGACCUUUAUACAGCCAUGCUACUCUCUCUUCUGUAUGAUCAGACCUCAAGAGCAGGAUCUACAUAAAAUAAACCCAGAUUUCCAUCUCCCUUGGGACGGAGACUUCAUCAUAGUUAACGCUGAUUAAUAAGCCCUGAGCCUCACCCCUGGUAGCUCGCCUCG
rnacentral:lncRNA from 1 species